rnacentral:rRNA from 1 species
CCUACGGGAGGCAGCAGUGGGGAAUAUUGCGCAAUGGACGAAAGUCUGACGCAGCGACGCCUCGUGAGGGACGAAGGUCUUCGGAUUGUAAACCUCUUUCAGCAGGGACGAAGCGUAAGUGACGGUACCUGCAGAAGAAGCACCGGCUAACUAUGUGCCAGCAGCCGCGGUAAUACAUAGGGUGCAAGCGUUGUCCGGAUUUAUUGGGCGUAAAGAGUUCGUAGGCGGUUUUUCGUGUCGGAUGUGAAAACUCAGGGCUCAACCCUGAGCCUGCAUUCGAUACGGGAAGACUCGAGGACGGCAGGGGAGACUGGAACUUCUGGUGUAGCGGUGGAAUGCGCAGAUAUCAGAAAGAACACCAAUGGCGAAGGCAGGUCUCUGGGCCGAUCCUGACGCUGAGGAACGAAAGCGUGGGGAGCAAACAGGAUUAGAUACCCUGGUAGUCCACGCCGUAAACUAUGGACGCUAGGUGUGGGGAACAUUCCACGUUCUCUGCGCCGCAGCUAACGCAUUAAGCGUCCCGCCUGGGGAGUACGACCGCAAGGUUAAAACUCAAAGGAAUUGACGG